AAUAAGACACAAGGCUGACACGAUGGUCACUCCUCUGCGGGGACUCUGGUAAUCCCUCUCCCCCCAUCUCUGUUUGGAGGAUUUUCUCUUUAUUUUUGGUGUCCUGAAUUUUAUGAGAUGGGCUCUUUCUUCACUCUUCUCAGCAACUUGCAGAUCUGUGUCUCCAGCCGGAUAUCAAGUCCCAGCUCCGUCUUCUAACAUCUCACUUGUCCAUUGGUUGUUUCGCAGGAUCUCAGAGUUGACAGGUGCAAGACUGGACCUUGUUUUCUCUCUGAACGCCCCUCCCAAUCUGCUCCUUCUCUCCACUUAUUUCAGCCCAAAUCCCAGGGGUCAAUCCCUACGUCUCCUUUUCUCUUACUACUCCAUGUCUGAUCUCUUAGCAUAAUCUAUUGACCGUAUUACCCUUCGUUAUGACUCAACAUGUGUGUAUCAAGCUCUCCUUAUGCCCAGGGCCACUACCCUAGUCCAAACCACUGACUCUCGCCCGGACCACAACAUCCCCCCAGCUGGGCUCCUUGCUUCCGGUCCUGCUUCCUUACAAUGCAUCUUCCAUCCAGCAGCUACCGACAUCCUCCCCAAAACACAAUCCAGCUCAUAGCUUCCCCUUACACCUAAAAUAAAUCCUACAAGUUCCUGCCUGAUCCGGCUCCUCUCCAACCCUCUAAUGACAUGUUAUGCCAUUCUGCAGCCCCACCUCCACCCUUUCAUUCAUUCAGGGACUCUGGCUUUUUCCCCUCCAGUCUUUCACACCAGCACAGGUACUUUACGCAUCACUCCCAUUUUGCAGGGAAUUUACGGGUUGAGGUGGAGAUGGGGCCAGGUGCCCAAGGAUGCAGCAAAUUGGAUGCGUUCUCCCAUGAGAUGGAAGGGCAUUUAGCUUCCUGACUUAGGUCUAAAAGGAGUCUGAGAGAUCUAUGCUGGAAAAACCCUUGCAAUACACAUGGCGGAUGAAAGGUUAAGAUCCACUGCCUGCAAAGAUGGUCAACGUGGGAGGAAAAACACGAACAAUCCAAGAGAAAAAACAGGCAAGGGAUUUAAAGGUUUUCACAGGAAGAGAAAUUCAAAGAGCCAAUAAGCACGUGAAGAAACUGAGGUACCCUCUUUUCUCUAAGCUCAUGAGGUUGGCACAAAUAAAAGAGUGGCUGGUGAGAAUGUAUGAAACCAGACACUCUUGCGCAUUGUUGGUAGAAACAUGAAGUGCAGCAAUGCUCCAGGGAAAAAAUCUGGCAAUGUCUAUUAAAAUUAACAUGCAUGUCCCUCUUGACCCAGAAAUGACACUAUUAAGAAUCUUAUAGGUACAAAAUUACCAGCCUGGAAGUAUAUUUACCCCAAGAUGGCAUUUUAGCAACUGUUUCUAAUGUCAGAUAUCAAAGAGGAGAUUAGAAAGAGAUUGUCACAAAAUGGAAAAUUGUUCACAAUGUCAUGUCAAGUAAAAUAAGAAGAUAUAAAAUUCUACCGACAUUACAACAAAUCUGCCAACAUGGAUUGAGCAUAUGGGCGAGAAUGUGCAGAAAUAUUGAUUUAGAUAGCUGAUGGGAUUGUGGGAGAUAUUUGCCUUCAGUGUCUUUUGCUAUUAGAAUGUUGUUUUGCCAAUAAUGUAACUUUUUAAAAACAGGCAUGUUGGGUCCUGGAAGUGGGGUUGGUUGAGAGGGUAAAGGUUAAUUUGCCUUGAAGGCCAUUUUAAGCUUUUUGAGUUAUUCUUUGGGAAGCCAUGAGUGGUGGAUGGGUUUGGGGCUUGGGAGUGCUGGAGGUGGGCUCAGAGGUGGAGGGGUGAGGGUGGAGACUAGAGGGUAGUUCUCAUGGGAGGGGAAGUCACUGCCACUCUAUAUAGAUCAGGCUGGAUGAGGAUUAGAUCGGAGGCAGCAGGGAAGGAAGUCAGGAGGCAGAUUCAGAAAGUCAGUCAUUGGGAAGAAACCACCCAACUGUGUAAGCAAAGAGGAGGAGCAGCGGGAAGAUUCCACUGGCCUCACCUGGGCAGGGAAGGCCAGGCCCCCGGAGGAAGUUUUUAAAGAGGUAGGGUGGGAGGGGAGCAAACGUAAGAGUUCGAUUUCAGACAUGCUGAAUCUGAAAUUUGAGAGUUUUCUGAACUCAAUUUGGAACAGGGAAAUAUUUGCUUUGAAUGACAAAGUUAAAAAAAUACGUAUCCAAGAAGCCAGAGACUGAACAGUCUUCAGUGAUUUGACUGACCUGUAGGAAGACUGAACUUUCCCUCCAAUAAGACAAACUACUUUGAGCAGAGGGAUUUCCAAAAAUAGCACUUCCUCACUUUCUGGUAUAGCUUUAUCUUAGUAUUUUUGCCUAAUAUUGAACCCAGAUUCUUCUUUUUAAGUCUUUGUGAUCCUCCUAGUCUACUUUCCCUACUUAAUGCGAUUCUUUUCUUCGAAGAAGAAUUCCCUUGCUGCUUUUGCCCAUUGUGUAUUUGUAAACAGUGGACACCAAUGACCCAAACUACCCCUUGGAGCUUUUGUCAUUGCGAUGGACCAAGUCCUCCAUUCUUUUAAUAACUUUGGUUCCUCUUUACGCUCUGUCAGGCUUUUCCCUACAUACUUGUGGUAGAAGGCAGCCCUAGCUAAGCAGAGUUUUCAGGGUGUGGCUCUACUGCACUUCCCUCAUCUGGGCAGCCAUGGUCUUGCCGGCUCUUUCGGGUUCUCUGGCACUAGCUGGUCUGUGACCUUCUCCUGCAGGGACCUGUCCCAUUCUGACCACCAACUGUGGCUAAUUUCAGGACCCUGUGCCACAGGUUGUAGAUUUACACCUUCCAAAUCAGAUGUGAGUGUUAAAACAUCCCAGCUUGCCUACUAGGAUGGCUGCGGUGAUUUUAAAAAGGAAAACAGCAAGUGUCAUCAAGGAUGUAGUGAAAUUGGGACGCUAACACAUCGCUGGUGGGAAUGCAAGGUGGUGCAGCUGCUGUGAAAAACAAUACGAUGGUUCCUCAAAAAAUUAAAAAUAGAAUUACCACAUGAUCCAGCAAUUCUACUUCCGGGUAGAGCAUCGAAAGACUUGAAAGCAAGCCUCAAAGAGAUAUUUCGCCAUCUGUAUUCACAGCAACAUUAUUCACAAUAAGCCAACAGGUUCCAAUGUGAGAUCUUGAUCUCACAACCCUGAGAUCAAGACCUGAGCUGAGAUCAAGAUUCAGAUGCUCAACUGAGCCACCCAGGCACCCCUAACAUUCAGUUUCUUAGUAGAUGACAGUGUGGAAUACACUAUUUCUACAUAGGUAGGUCCGAUUCCACCUGUCUGAGAUCAUUUAUAUCUAAUUCCACCUAAUGAUAAUCUGGAGAUGGGCUAAGUUACCUCUUAAUGUAUUUUCCCAUCGUGUAAGUUCAGAAUGCCACAGGCUCUUUGCUUACAAGUGACAGAAAUGCAGUCUGGGUGACUUAAGCCAAACAAUCUAUUGAAUAGAUUGGGAGAUGCUCAUAGAAUCCAAGGAAAAAAUUAAUUUAUCUUGUGUGGCUUCAGAUGUGGCUUUCAUUUUUAAAAUGUUAAGUAGUUUUUAACUAAUCCCUAAGAUACCACCAUCUUCUAUGAUGUUGCCUUCCUGUCCUCUCUGAACUUUUGGAGAAUAGAUAGCCUCCAGCAGAAAAAAAUCCACACCAUCCAUUUUAAUCCCAAUUUCAGUUUAUUUUAUGUCAUCAAUAAAUGCUUGGACUCUACAUACAAGUAAAGUAACUUUCUUUUGGCAAAUUGAGUUAUACUUUCCUAUUAAUUUAUUUUUAAUCUCUAACUUGUCUUCCUUACGUUCGACUCUUCUUCCGUAAGUGGUGGUCAUGACAUGAGUUAAGUGAUGCUCUGUCCAAAGACUACUUCAUGUGAGGUCCUGAUUUGAAUACUU